rnacentral:rRNA from 1 species
AAAAGCUAAUAAGAGCGUACGGGGGAUGCCUUGGCUCUCAGCGGCGAUGAAGGACGUGGUAAGCUGCGAAAAGUUACGGGGAGGUGCACACAACUAGUGAUCCGUAAAUAUCCGAAUGGGGCAACCCAUCAUGUUGAAGACAUGAUAUCCGAAAGGAGGCUAACCCGGGGAACUGAAACAUCUAAGUACCCGGAGGAAAAGAAAAUAAAAAUGAUUUCCCUAGUAGCGGCGAGCGAACGGGAAAAAGCCCAAACCAUAAUUGUUUCGGCAAUUAUGGGGUUGUAGGACUACAACGUGGACUUACAUUAUAUAAUAGAAUGUGUUGGAAAGCACAGCCAUAGAAGGUGAUAGUCCUGUAUAUGAAAUAUAGUGUAUACCUAGUAGUAUCCUGAGUAGCGCGAAACAUGUGGAAUUUUGCGUGAAUCUGCCAGAACCAUCUGGUAAGGCUAAAUACGACUGAGAGACCGAUAGCGAACUAGUACCGUGAGGGAAAGGUGAAAAGUACCCUGAAUAAGGGGGUGAAAAAGAACCUGAAACCGUGCGCUUACAAGCGGUGGGAGCCUUCGGGUGACCACGUGCCUUUUGCAUAAUGAGCCUACGAGUUACCGUUACUGGCAAGGAUAAGGUCUUCAGGACUGGAUCCGAAGCGAAAGCGAGUCUGAAUAGGGCGUAUAGUCAGUAGUGGUAGACGCGAAACCUUGUGAUCUACCCUUGGGCAGGUUGAAGCUGUGGUAACACACAGUGGAGGACCGAACCGAUAAGCGUUGAAAAGCUUCCGGAUGACUUGAGGGUAGGGGUGAAAGGCCAAUCAAACUAGGAAAUAGCUCGUACUCCCCGAAAUGCAUUUAGGUGCAGCGUUGAGUUAAGUUUAAUAGAGGUAGAGCUACUGAUAGGGCUAGGGGGCUUCACCGCCUACCAACCCCUGACAAACUCCGAAUGCUAUUAAAUGUUUCUCAGCAGUGAGGGCGUGGGUGCUAAGGUCCACGUCCGAGAGGGAAAGAACCCAGACCAUCAGCUAAGGUCCCAAAAUAUAUACUAAGUUGUUAAAACGAGGUCGAACUGCUUUGACAGCUAGGAUGUUGGCUUGGAAGCAGCCAUUCAUUUAAAGAGUGCGUAACAGCUCACUAGUCGAGCGGUACGGCAUGGAUAAUAAUCGGGCAUUAAGUAUAUUACCGAAGCUAUGGAUUGCAGUUUACUGCAGUGGUAGGGGAGCAUUCUAUAGGCGCUGAAGCUGAGUUGCGAGACUUGGUGGAGCGUAUAGAAAAGCAAAUGUAGGCAUAAGUAACGAUAAGGCGGGCGAGAAACCCGCCCACCGAUAGACCAAGGUUUCCUCAGCUAUGCUAAUCAGCUGAGGGUUAGUCGGGUCCUAAGGAUAAUCCGAAGGGAGAUUCCGAUGGCAAACUGGUUAAUAUUCCAGUACCAUCUUAUAUUGCGAUGGGGUGACGGAGUAGUGAAAGUACCGCGUACUGACGGAAUAGUACGUUAAAGAGUGUAGACGUUGAUCGAGUAGGCAAAUCCGCUCGAGAGUUGAACUUGAUAGUACCGCAAAUCUUCGGAGGCGCGGAUAGUGUACCUAAUCAGACUUCCAAGAAAACCCUCUAAGCUUCAGAUAUAAGAUGCCCGUACCCCAAACCGACACAGGUGGUCAAGGAGAGAAUCCUAAGGUGCUCGAGUGAUUCAUGGCUAAGGAACUCGGCAAAAUGGUCCUGUAACUUCGGGAGAAAGGACGCCACGCGCAAGCGUGGCCGCAGUGAAAAGGCCCAGGCGACUGUUUAUCAAAAACACAUGGCUUUGCAAAAUCGAAAGAUGAAGUAUAAGGCCUGACACCUGCCCGGUGCUGGAAGGUUAAAAGGAGGAGUUAUCUUCGGAGAAGCUCUGAAUUGAAGCCCCAGUAAACGGCGGCCGUAACUAUAACGGUCCUAAGGUAGCGAAAUUCCUUGUCGGGUAAGUUCCGACCUGCACGAAUGGUGUAACGAUCUGGGCACUGUCUCGGCCAUGAGCUCGGUGAAAUUGUAGUAGCGGUGAAGAUGCCGCUUACCCGCAACGGGACGAAAAGACCCCGUGAACCUUUACUAUAGCUUCACAUUGAUAUUGGGUAACUGAUGUGUAGGAUAGGUGGGAGACUAUGAAGCUGCGUCGCUAGGCGUGGUGGAGUCAACCUUGAAAUACCACCCUUUAGUUAUCUGAUGUCUAACCCCGCUAAGCGGGGGACAGUGUGUGGUGGGUAGUUUGACUGGGGUGGUCGCCUCCAAAAGAGUAACGGAGGCUUUCAAAGGUUCCCUCAGCACGCUUGGUAACCGUGCGUAGAGUGCAAUGGCAUAAGGGAGCUUGACUGUGAGACCGACAAGUCGAUCAGGUAGGAAACUAGGACAUAGUGAUCCGGUGGUUCCGUAUGGAAGGGCCAUCGCUCAAAGGAUAAAAGGUACUCCGGGGAUAACAGGCUGAUCACUCCCAAGAGCUCACAUCGACGGAGUGGUUUGGCACCUCGAUGUCGGCUCGUCACAUCCUGGGGCUGGAGAAGGUCCCAAGGGUUGGGCUGUUCGCCCAUUAAAGUGGCACGCGAGCUGGGUUCAGAACGUCGUGAGACAGUUCGGUCUCUAUCUGUUGUGGGCGUUAGAAAUUUGCGAGGAUCUGACUCUAGUACGAGAGGACCGAGUUGGACGCACCUCUGGUGUAUCUGUUGUGGCGCCAGCUGCAUUGCAGAGUAGCUAUGUGCGGAUGAGAUAAGCGCUGAAAGCAUCUAAGCGCGAAACUCACCUCAAGAUGAGAUUUCUUUUAAGGGCCGUUGUAGACGACAACGUUGAUAGGCUACAAGUGUAAAGACAGUAAUGUCAAAGCUGAGUAGUACUAAUUACCCGUAGGCUUUUGCGC